rnacentral:rRNA from 1 species
AUACUUAGGAAUAUGCCUUUGGGUGGGGAGUAACUAUUGGAACGAUAGCUAAUACCGCAUAACGUCUACGGACCAAAGGGGGACGGCUUGCGCUCUCGCCCAAAGAGUAGCCUAAGCGAGAUUAGCUUGUUGGUGAGGUAAAGGCUCACCAAGGCGACGAUCUCUAGCUGUUCUGAGAGGAAGAUCAGCCACACUGGGACUGAGACACGGCCCAGACUCCUACGGGAGGCAGCAGUGGGGAAUAUUGCACAAUGGGGGAAACCCGUGAUGCAGCCAUGCCGCGUGUGUGAAGAAGGCCUU